ACGCUGGCGGCGUGCCUAAUACAUGCAAGUAGAACGCUGAAGGAGGAGCUUGCUUCUCUGGAUGAGUUGCGAACGGGUGAGUAACGCGUAGGUAACCUGCCUGGUAGCGGGGGAUAACUAUUGGAAACGAUAGCUAAUACCGCAUAACAGUAGAUGUUGCAUGACAUUUGCUUAAAAGGUGCAAUUGCAUCACUACCAGAUGGACCUGCGUUGUAUUAGCUAGUUGGUGGGGUAACGGCUCACCAAGGCGACGAUACAUAGCCGACCUGAGAGGGUGAUCGGCCACACUGGGACUGAGACACGGCCCAGACUCCUACGGGAGGCAGCAGUAGGGAAUCUUCGGCAAUGGACGGAAGUCUGACCGAGCAACGCCGCGUGAGUGAAGAAGGUUUUCGGAUCGUAAAGCUCUGUUGUAGAGAAGAACAGGUGUGAGAGUGGAAAGUUCACACUGUGACGGUAUCUUACCAGAAAGGGACGGCUAACUACGUGCCAGCAGCCGCGGUAAUACGUAGGUCCCGAGCGUUGUCCGGAUUUAUUGGGCGUAAAGCGAGCGCAGGCGGUUAGAUAAGUCUGAAGUUAAAGGCUGUGGCUUAACCAUAGUACGCUUUGGAAACUGUUUAACUUGAGUGCAAGAGGGGAGAGUGGAAUUCCAUGUGUAGCGGUGAAAUGCGUAGAUAUAUGGAGGAACACCGGUGGCGAAAGCGGCUCUCUGGCUUGUAACUGACGCUGAGGCUCGAAAGCGUGGGGAGCAAACAGGAUUAGAUACCCCUGGUAGUCCACGCCGUAAACGAUGAGUGCUAGGUGUUAGACCCUUUCCGGGGUUUAGUGCCGCAGCUAACGCAUUAAGCACUCCGCCUGGGGAGUACGACCGCAAGGUUGAAACUCAAAGGAAUUGACG
rnacentral:rRNA from 1 species